AUACAUUUCAUAGUUCAUAAGUAUGAUGAUUGGGUUUUCACACUCAUGUAUGAGAUGUGCCUCUCUAAAACUUUCUUACAACAUUGGCACAUUACCCCAUCUGAUG
ensembl:snoRNA